CAGGUUUAUUACACAAUAAAGGGAUAACAAGAUUGAAUAAUCCUGAGAGAGAGACUUCCCAUAGCAUGCAGACGAUUUGUGCCAUCAUACGGAUUUGUGAUCCAAGAAAAAUAGAAGUUCCAUAGGGAGAAAAUAAUAAAGAGAAGCACCAAAAGAAAUACCAGUUUCACACAGAUAAUGGGAGUCAGCUUGUGACCAGAAACUCAACCUAAUGAAAGAAUGGACUUCAUUUCUACUCCUGUGAUAUUACUGACUUAAGGAUAUUAUGGCAUUUUGCUUCAGUUCACUAUGCAGUGUGAAGUCAUCGGUUAAGCUCCAGAUCAAAGAAUUACAGUACUCUUCAAAGUGUUGGGGAUUACAAACUGACUUCCAGAGGUGAAAGGUAAAGGAAGAGAAAGACAAAGAAGUACCUGAUGGGAUGAGUCAGUUAAGCCUGUAGCAUAGUAGCAAAGUCUAUAGAUAUACUGAAAAAAGCAAACAACCAACACACAUUAUAACUUCCAGUAGUAGUAGCUGUUGUUUUUUCUCAUUUGUUUGUUUCAUUUCUAUGGAAAAAAAAUAGUAUUAAACAAACACUGAUGAAAGUAUUUUACAUAACAGUGGAUUCUUAAUUUCAAGGAAAAAAAAAAAAAGAAAGAAGUUUAAAAUUGUUUUUUAUUCACUUUGUGCCAGUUUCAUUUUAUUAGUUUUUAUAUUACAUUGCAAAAAUCACAUGGAUUUUCAAGACACUGGUCAAGUGUUAGAAGGCUAGCAACAUGGCACUGUAAUUAUGACUUCAGUACUAAUGGUAGUCUUUCUUUCCCAAAGCCUUUCAAAUUCUUUAUUCUAUAAUAAUGUGUUCCUAUAUCAUGCCUACUCAAGGACAGUGAAUUACCUGGCAGCUUGUAGCUUUUUGAUGGUCUGACAAAAACUUCUCUCUCUGUAGUUUUACCAUAGCACUUUAGCUAUACCAGCAACUUGGAGUCUGACUAUGCUAGCUCUGUUUGCCAGUAUAGGUGUCUCUAGAUGGUAUUCUCAAAUCCAUUAGCAAAUGCUGAAGUCUAACUUCCUUGAAAUUCCAGUAUACAAUGAGACCAUGCAGUUUAAAAAAAAUCACAUCAGAAAAAAUUAUGUAUUUAGGCAAAAGAAGAAAAGCAUGCUAUUUUGUAGGUAUACUGAGACAGGAACUUAGUAACUUGAAUCAAAAUAUAAAACAGUUCGUAUGAAAUACUAGUAAAAGUGAUACCUGAGUGCUUUUCUUUGGGAAAAAAAUCACCUCAGGAUUUGAAUAGAUGAAAUUGCUCUGAAAUUAUGGUGAUACUGUAUACACCAAUAAUUCAUAUGUGUGGUA